rnacentral:lncRNA from 1 species
GGAUGUGCUAUAAAUACUAAAAGGAUGCUAUAUAUUGCUCCUACUUCAAGGUAUGGCAUUUAUUUUUGUGAGAUUGGAUCUAAAGGGAGAAAGAAAAGGAAUUAACAGUUGUAUUUGCCUGUUAUGUUCUAGGUAUUUUACAUAUGGAUUUCUAACAUUAAUUCUUAUAACCACCCUGUGAGGUAGGCAUUACUACUUGCAUCUCACAGGUCAGGACCUGGAGCUUUCAGAGGUCCGUAACCUUCCCAUGGUCAUACUGUGGCUAAGAGGACAAAACAGGAAUCUGGCACAGCGUGGCCUAGGGAGGACAGGGGAUGCUUGUGGUCUGAAAAAAGAAGAGGACACAGA